ACAGCAGUCGCCACGGUAAAACGUAGGUGGCAAGCGUUGUCCGGAAUUAUUGGGCGUAAAGGGCUCGCAGGCGGUUUCUUAAGUCUGAUGUGAAAGCCCCCGGCUCAACCGGGGAGGGUCAUUGGAAACUGGGAAACUUGAGUGCAGAAGAGGAGAGUGGAAUUCCACGUGUAGCGGUGAAAUGCGUAGAGAUGUGGAGGAACACCAGUGGCGAAGGCGACUCUCUGGUCUGUAACUGACGCUGAGGAGCGAAAGCGUGGGGAGCGAACAGGAUUAGAUACCCCUGUAGUCCCUGUCUCUUAUAC
rnacentral:rRNA from 1 species